GUUGGCCUAAAGCGGAGUGGGCAGGAGCUGCCCCGAGACAGUGGAUGAUCUUGUGACGCUGUUGGAGAAUCACCAGGUCACAGCAGAGUUGAUGCAGAGCAGUAGGAAAGAGCCCUUACGACGCAGCCAAUUUGACCCCAAGAGAGACUGGCUGAGGAAGGGUAAUAUGGAGACACUGCCCCUAAGUCAGAGGCCCAAAGGGGGCUUUUCCACAUUUUGCAAAAAAGAAUGGCCUCUUAUCUUUAUAAGAAGCCAUUGCUAAGCUGGUGGAACUUGUGGUGGAACAGUUGCUAGUCCCCAAACGCUAUAUUCCAAAAGUGUUGUAACUGGCCCACUCACACAUGUUGGGAGCUCAUCUAGGGAUAGAGAAGACCUACAACCGAAUCCUGGAGCGCUUCUACUGGCCGGGGGUAAAGAAGACGAUCCAGGAUUGCUGCAAAAUCUGCCCGGAGAUCCAGAAGACAGCUCCAAAGGUUACUGGCAGGUUCCCCUCACAGAUGCUGCAAAGGAGAAGACGAGCAGAAUACCUCGGCUACACCAUUGGGAGAGGCAGUGUAAGACCCCAAUCCCGGAAAGUGGAAGCCAUCGCCACCUGGCCUAAGUCAGCAACUAAGCGCCCCUUUACAUGAGAUGAUGAAAAACAGCCACCCACACCAGGUUCUUUGGAGCACCAACGCUGUGGAAGCAUUUGCAACCCUUCGGAAGGCCUUGUGCACUGAGCCGAUCUUAAGCACCCCUAACUUCCAGGACACGUUCGUCGUCCAUACAUAUGGCUCAGGAUCAGGUAUUGGAGCUGUGCUGUCCCAGGUUAGAGGAGGAGAACACCUCCGGGUUGACACAACAUGAAGAAGCUUUAAGCCAAAGGUGUGAUCAUUGAAUGUACUGUAGUAUUUAGUGAACAGGGAUUGGUCAGGUCAGUGAGGGAUUUCAGAUUCGACCAUUAGAUGGAGCCAGAAGGAAGUCAUGUGAUGCCUUGGAGAAGAAAGGAAUUCACGAGGGAGGAGUUGGACUUGAAUGUGCAGCCAAUCACAUACGACUGCAGCACAAGGGUCGCGCCAGCUCCUGGGAGAUUGGAAGAGCUGAGCUGGAGAAGGAGCAAACAGCCUCCUGUGAACCAAUAUUGAUAGCCAUAUGAGACUUUGACCAAGGGACUUCUCUAUUUCGCGAGAUAAUAUACUCUUCAGACUUUAUUCCGCUGUAUUGCUUAUUACUUCUGUUAGUUAUUAAGUUCUUUAUCAUUUUUAAACUCGAGCCAGUUGACUCUUAUUGAUUUCUCGUCUCAGAAGGGCCGAGGGGAACAGUAGUGGUCCUUGAUCAGAACCCAACACUGCAUAGGUUCGACGCUCUGCAAGAAGUUGCGCAUGCGCGUUACAGAUGUGAUUAGACUUAAAGAAGUAAUGUUUCAAACAGCCCGCAUUACUAUGUCCUUAAAGCUUCUUGUUAACAGUACACCGUCUGUAGUUCCAUAUUUAUGUCGUUUUGAAUGAAAUAUUCUGAGUAUUAAAUGAAAUUUGAACCCAAUUUCUGUGCUGAAAUCGCAUAUAGUGCUCACUGCGUAUCUUGCAAUGUACCAACAGUUUGUGUUUUUAUUCCAAACUUUUUGUUCUGAUAUAUGCAAUGAAUAAGAAUAUCAUGGCGAAGGAGUGGUUAUUUUAAAUGGUUCCAUUUUUUAUGUGUUCUGGUCAAACUCACAUUGAUUGCAUUUACAAAUAUUUCCACUGAGAUUCCGGGUAAUACCCGAUGGAUAUGAAUCAGGCGUUGAACUGAGAAAUAUGGAAUCAUUUAAUCUCCUCUCAGUUUUGUGUGCUGUAUCUGAGCCGCUGUCUAGUCCUCCCUCAUACUGAUCUGUGUCUCUCCCUCUCUUUUCUUUAAUCACAUUUAGUUUCAUUUUCACCUUCAUCAUCUCUUAAUCAAACAUCCCAGAUCACAUUUUCUAAAAUUGGACUGAGUGCGUG
ensembl:lncRNA